UACGGGGGGGGCAAGCGUUGUUCGGAAUUACUGGGCGUAAAGAGCGCGCAGGCGGUCGUUCAAGUCGCGUGUGAAAGCCCCCGGCUCAACUGGGGAGGGUCACGCGAUACUGAUCGACUCGAAGGCAGGAGAGGGAAGUGGAAUUCCCGGUGUAGUGGUGAAAUGCGUAGAUAUCGGGAGGAACACCAGUGGCGAAGGCGACUUCCUGGCCUGUUCUUGACGCUGAGGCGCGAAAGCUAGGGGAGCAAACGGGG
rnacentral:rRNA from 1 species